UAGUCGGAGGUGUGUCUCGGACGGUUGGUUCGCUGCUUGUCGGUGCUUAACUGGCCGGUCCGGACGUCCUGCCGGUGGGGAUGUCAAAAGUCUCCGUUAUCCUUCUUUAGUGCUCUUCACCGAGUGCUUUGGUGGGCCGGCACGUUUACUUUGAACAAAUUAGAGUGCUCAAAGCAGGCCGUUGGUCGCCUGAAUACUGUGUGCAUGGAAUAAUGGAAUAGGACCUCGGUUCCAUUUUGUUGGUUUUCAGAACUCGAGGUAAUGAUUAAUAGGGACGGACGGGGGCAUUCGUAUUGCGACGUUAGAGGUGAAAUUCUUGGAUCGUCGCAAGACGAACCGAUGCGAAAGCAUUUGCCAAGAACGUUUUCGUUGAUCAAGAACGAAAGUUAGAGGUUCGAAGGCGAUCAGAUACCGCCCUAGUUCUAACCAUAAACGAUGCCAGCUAGCCAUCCGCCGAAGUUCCUUCUAUGACUCGGCGGGCAGCUUCCGGGAAACCAAAGCUCUUGGGUUCCGGGGGAAGUAU
rnacentral:rRNA from 1 species